GUGACCUCAAAUCGGGGAGCACUACCCGCUGAACUUAAGCAUAUCCAUAAGCGGAGGAAAAGAAACUAACAUGGAUUCCCCUAGUAACUGCGAGAGAAGCGUGAAAAGCUCAAAUCUAAAAUCUGACAGUCUUUGCCUGUCAGAGUUGCAACUAGAGAAGUGUAUACAAGCUACAACGAGUACUACUCUCCUGGAAUGGAGCGUCAUAGAGGAGAGCAUACUGUCUAUUGACGACGACUACGGGUGCUCUGUGAUGCGCUCCUCAAAGAGUCGAGUCUGCUUCGGGACUGCAGCUCAAAUGCUGGUAGUUA
rnacentral:rRNA from 1 species